rnacentral:rRNA from 1 species
UACGGAGGAUGCGAGCGUUAUCCGGAUUUAUUGGGUUUAAAGGGUGCGUAGGCGGUCCGUUAAGUCAGCGGUAAAAUUGCGGGGCUCAACCCCGUCGAGCCGUUGAAACUGUCAGACUUGAGUUGGCGAGAAGUACGCGGAAUGCGCGGUGUAGCGGUGAAAUGCAUAGAUAUCGCGCAGAACUCCGAUUGCGAAGGCAGCGUACCGGCGCCACACUGACGCUGAGGCACGAAGGCGUGGGGAUCGAACAGG